rnacentral:rRNA from 1 species
GGGUUGUGAGGUUAAGCGACUAAGCGUACACGGUGGAUGCCCUGGCAGUCAGAGGCGAUGAAGGACGUGCUAAUCUGCGAUAAGCGUCGGUAAGGUGAUAUGAACCGUUAUAACCGGCGAUUUCCGAAUGGGGAAACCCAGUGUGAUUCGUCACACUAUCAUUACGUGAAUACAUAGCGUAAUGAAGCGAACCGGGGGAACUGAAACAUCUAAGUACCCCGAGGAAAAGAAAUCAACCGAGAUUCCCCCAGUAGCGGCGAGCGAACGGGGAGCAGCCCAGAGUCUGAAUCAGCUUGUGUGUUAGUGGAACGGUCUGGAAAGUCCGACGGUACAGGGUGAUAGUCCCGUACACCAAAAUGCACAGGUUGUGAACUCGAAGAGUAGGGCGGGACACGUGGUAUCCUGUCUGAAUAUGGGGGGACCAUCCUCCAAGGCUAAAUACUCCUGACUGACCGAUAGUGAACCAGUACCGUGAGGGAAAGGCGAAAAGAACCCCGGCGAGGGGAGUGAAAAAGAACCUGAAACCGUGUACGUACAAGCAGUGGGAGCCUCUUUAUGGGGUGACUGCGUACCUUUUGUAUAAUGGGUCAGCGACUUAUAUUCUGUAGCAAGGUUAACCGUAUAGGGGAGCCGAAGGGAAACCGAGUCUUAACUGGGCGUUAAGUUGCAGGGUAUAGACCCGAAACCCGGUGAUCUAGCCAUGGGCAGGUUGAAGGUUGGGUAACACUAACUGGAGGACCGAACCGACUAAUGUUGAAAAAUUAGCGGAUGACUUGUGGCUGGGGGUGAAAGGCCAAUCAAACCGGGAGAUAGCUGGUUCUCCCCGAAAGCUAUUUAGGUAGCGCCUCGUGAACUCAUCUUCGGGGGUAGAGCACUGUUUCGGCUAGGGGGUCAUCCCGACUUACCAACCCGAUGCAAACUGCGAAUACCGAAGAAUGUUAUCACGGGAGACACACGGCGGGUGCUAACGUCCGUCGUGAAGAGGGAAACAACCCAGACCGCCAGCUAAGGUCCCAAAGUCAUGGUUAAGUGGGAAACGAUGUGGGAAGGCACAGACAGCCAGGAUGUUGGCUUAGAAGCAGCCAUCAUUUAAAGAAAGCGUAAUAGCUCACUGGUCGAGUCGGCCUGCGCGGAAGAUGUAACGGGGCUAAACCAUGCACCGAAGCUGCGGCAGCGACACUAUGUGUUGUUGGGUAGGGGAGCGUUCUGUAAGCCGUUGAAGGUGGCCUGUGAGGGUUGCUGGAGGUAUCAGAAGUGCGAAUGCUGACAUAAGUAACGAUAAUGCGGGUGAAAAACCCGCACGCCGGAAGACCAAGGGUUCCUGUCCAACGUUAAUCGGGGCAGGGUGAGUCGACCCCUAAGGCGAGGCCGAAAGGCGUAGUCGAUGGGAAACAGGUUAAUAUUCCUGUACUUGGUGUUACUGCGAAGGGGGGACGGAGAAGGCUAUGUUAGCCGGGCGACGGUUGUCCCGGUUUAAGCAUGUAGGCGGAGGUUCCAGGUAAAUCCGGUACCUUUUAACGCUGAGGUGUGAUGACGAGGCACUACGGUGCUGAAGUAACAAAUGCCCUGCUUCCAGGAAAAGCCUCUAAGCAUCAGGUAACACGAAAUCGUACCCCAAACCGACACAGGUGGUCAGGUAGAGAAUACCAAGGCGCUUGAGAGAACUCGGGUGAAGGAACUAGGCAAAAUGGUGCCGUAACUUCGGGAGAAGGCACGCUGAUAUGUAGGUGAAGUGAUUUACUCAUGGAGCUGAAAUCAGUCGAAGAUACCAGCUGGCUGCAACUGUUUAUUAAAAACACAGCACUGUGCAAACACGAAAGUGGACGUAUACGGUGUGACGCCUGCCCGGUGCCGGAAGGUUAAUUGAUGGGGUUAUCCGUAAGGAGAAGCUCUUGAUCGAAGCCCCGGUAAACGGCGGCCGUAACUAUAACGGUCCUAAGGUAGCGAAAUUCCUUGUCGGGUAAGUUCCGACCUGCACGAAUGGCGUAAUGAUGGCCAGGCUGUCUCCACCCGAGACUCAGUGAAAUUGAACUCGCUGUGAAGAUGCAGUGUACCCGCGGCAAGACGGAAAGACCCCGUGAACCUUUACUAUAGCUUGACACUGAACACUGGUCCUUGAUGUGUAGGAUAGGUGGGAGGCUUUGAAGUGUGGACGCCAGUCUGCAUGGAGCCAUCCUUGAAAUACCACCCUUUAAUGGCUGGUGUUCUAACGUGGACCCGUUACCCGGGUUGCGGACAGUGUCUGGUGGGUAGUUUGACUGGGGCGGUCUCCUCCUAAAGAGUAACGGAGGAGCACGAAGGUUAGCUAAUCCUGGUCGGACAUCAGGAGGUUAGUGCAAAGGCAUAAGCUAGCUUGACUGCGAGAGUGACGGCUCGAGCAGGUGCGAAAGCAGGUCUUAGUGAUCCGGUGGUUCUGAAUGGAAGGGCCAUCGCUCAACGGAUAAAAGGUACUCCGGGGAUAACAGGCUGAUACCGCCCAAGAGUUCAUAUCGACGGCGGUGUUUGGCACCUCGAUGUCGGCUCAUCACAUCCUGGGGCUGAAGUAGGUCCCAAGGGUAUGGCUGUUCGCCAUUUAAAGUGGUACGCGAGCUGGGUUUAGAACGUCGUGAGACAGUUCGGUCCCUAUCUGCCGUGGGCGCUGGAGAAUUGAGGGGGGCUGCUCCUAGUACGAGAGGACCGGAGUGGACGCAUCACUGGUGUUCGGGUUGUCAUGCCAAUGGCAUUGCCCGGUAGCUAAAUGCGGAAGAGAUAAGUGCUGAAAGCAUCUAAGCACGAAACUUGCCCCGAGAUGAGUUCUCCCUGAGACU